GACCUAAUUCAACUGUCUACCACAUUUUAAAAUACAACGAAAUAAUCGAUAAUUCAUAUUUGCUCACUAAAUACAUAAUCAAUUGAAAGAGUUUACAUGAUAACAUUUUGUGUGUGACAUUAUUUUUGAAUUUCUAUCACAUUUCAACAGGUUCUGUAUACAAAAGUCUGAACUACAUUUGAGGGAAAUGGAUUUUCUAAAGAAAAAAAUUGUCUUAUUGGUUUACUCUUCUAGAUGUAAACCAUGACGGUUUAAUAACAAGGGACGACGUUGGUCAAACAGCCGGUGAUUUCCCAGUUGAAGAGCAUCUAGAUGAAACGUCUGGGAAACUUGCAGCUAAGAAAAUUUUACAAUGGUGGGAGAAAUAUAUUUUGAAGGGUAAAACUUCCCUAACCAAAGAAGAUUUUCUUCGUCGUCUAGAAAAGGAAUAUACCGACGAUCAGGAGAAAUUUAUCUCUGAAAUGAAAGAUGUCAUUAAGGAUGUAGCUGAAAUUGUCGAUGCAGAUAAAACAGAAUCUAUUACAUUAGACAACUACAUUAAAGCUUUUAAAGUAUGGGGUAAUGAAGAUGAGACUAAACUUCAGAAGUCUUUUGAACUUUACAAACCGACCAAUGGUGCCAUUCCUAUCAAGCAAUAUGAAGCUGAUUGGGUUACUUUUUAUUCCAGUACUGAUUCCGCCAAUCCAGACCCGGUAUUGAAAUCGUAUGAGGCUGGAUUUCUAUAGAAACAAACCAGUGAAGCCAGUGAAAAUAACGUUUUAAAUUAAAAUAAACAAUUCACUUACUUACUUACAUGAAAUAUUUACCAAUGUAUAUAUAUACGUAUAUCACUAUGCUAGCUCUAUCUUAGAUGUUUGAAGGUGAUUGUUGGUUCAUUGUCUUAUAGUCAUUGAAGUAUUUUUUCUUUCUUUCUUGAGAAUAAACCUUUUCAUUUAUUCUUUU